UACGUAGGGUGCAAGCGUUGUCCGGAAUUAUUGGGCGUAAAGAGCUCGUAGGCGGUUUGUCGCGUCGAAUGUGAAAACCCGGGGCUCAACCCCGGGCCUGCAUUCGAUACGGGCAGACUAGAGUUCGGUAGGGGAGUCUGGAAUUCCUGGUGUAGCGGUGAAAUGCGCAGAUAUCAGGAGGAACACCCGUGGCGAAGGCGGCCCCCUGGGUCGGCCCUGACGCUGAGGCGCGAAAGCGUGGGGAGCGAACGGG
rnacentral:rRNA from 1 species